rnacentral:tRNA from 1 species
UAGCUCAGAGGGUAAAAGCGCCUGCCUACAAUGCGGGAGACCCAGGUUCGAUCCCUGG